CACAUGCACACACACAUAUAUAUACACACGCACACAAACAUGCACUGGCGCAUGCAUACACACAUACAUACACAUACUCAUACAUACACGUACAUGUAUACACACACACGUACGCACGCACAAAAGUGAACGUAUACACUUGCACAUAUGAGUACACUCUUGCACGUAUGCUCACACACAUACAUACACAGAAGCACACAGAAACGCAUAGACACACACAACACAAUAUACGCAUGCACGCACAUACACACUCUUGCACGCAUGCACGCACACAUGGACACAUUUUUCGCACGCACGCAUACAUUCGCUCACACACACACACACACACACACAUUCUCACGCUGAUGCACAUAGACUGGACGCACACAAUGUUUUGAAUUUGUUUUUGUUUUGCAAUAUGCGUACCGUUGUUUGUUACGAUGAUGGCGACGACGCCGCUGCCGACGACGACGACGAUGAUGAUGAUGACGACGAUGAUAAUAUCCCCUGCAGCUGAUAUGGCGUUGCACAAUUCGUUGCACACAGACACACAUACACACACACAUGCACACAUCUGUGCACGCGCUGCUCAUUAGCUAAAUAACAUCUACAGAGCGAGAACGACCGACGCCCGGCCUCUCUACGCGCAAACACACAACCAUGCCCGAACCAGUAAACGUAAAUCACGACCAUUUCGAUCGCACGCGCGCGAUCACACACGCAUAUACUUCAACCCCUCCUGCUAAUGCAUAAAUAUGUCUGUGCAAAGCUCCGCCCGUUUAACCAUGUAUGCUGUGUCUAACACGUGUUUAUCAAGGCAGCAAGCAUUCACGGUGUUUUCCUCGUACCAUCAUCUGCAGAGCAGCCUUUAACGACGGCCUGAAAUCGGUGGAAUCAGACCAAAUCGGGUUGCCAGCAACGACGGACAAUGCGCCGAAGUCGUUUGAAACGAAACCUCGAUUUUAGCAGCCAAGUACAAUCGUCGGCUUUUUUGCUCCUCUCUAACAAGUCAAUAUUGCUUGACCAGACGGACAGGGCCGCAUACAAGAACCCUUACAACACCAUAGCCAACAACAACAGCAACAGCAACUACUACUACUACUACUACUACUACUACUACUACUACUACUACUACUACUACUACUACUACUACUGCAAAAUUCUCCGGUCGUCUGUUGAUAUAUUAUUAACACUUGCUAAUUUCAUCUUUCUAACAGCGUUGAAAUUAUAUUGCAACACC